GUGAGGGCCGCCCCUCAUCGCGGGGUGCAGAGCCCUCCCCGCGCUCUGAAACCCUCCGUCCCUGCGUGUCCCCGCCAGGCUGCGGGCUGGGCCGGGCCGGGCUGGGCCGGGCCGGGCUCGGGCUGUGCUCCCGGGCCCUCAGAACCCCCGGCCCGGCCCGGCCCGGCCCGGCCGCGGCCACAGGCGAGCGCUGCGCGGCCAGCAGGGCGCUGGGAAUGCUGUGGGCGCUGCCGAUGGUGCUGGCCCUGCCGAGCAGCUGCAUUUCUAGCACGGCCCUUGCACUGGCAGUGAAGUGCUGAGGGAUGAAGACAAGCCGAAGAGUUCAGCAUUCCUAUUUCUCUUCCUCUUUGCUGACUUUGAGGCUCCGAAUACGGGUUUACAGUUCAAGGGGAGAAUUCCAUUGCAGGAAUUAUAACUUUCAGGUUUGAAGUGUUACUGAGACAGUCGUGUUUCUGGAACAGCACAGGAUGUAGCUCAACCUUGGCUGUGUCCUACAGGUGGGAGGAUCAAGGCAAUGCAUCCUGGGCAUUUUCAGGGAUU